AUUGAACGCUGGCGGCAGGCUUAACACAUGCAAGUCGAGCGGAGAUGAGGUGCUUGCACCUUAUCUUAGCGGCGGACGGGUGAGUAAUGCUUAGGAAUCUGCCUAUUAGUGGGGGACAACAUUCCGAAAGGAAUGCUAAUACCGCAUACGCCCUACGGGGGAAAGCAGGGGAUCUUCGGACCUUGCGCUACUAGAUGAGCAUCGGUCGGAUUAGCUAGUUGGAGGGGUAAAGGCCUACCAAGGCGACGAUCUGUAGCGGGUCUGAGAGGAUGAUCCGCCACACUGGGACUGAGACACGGCCCAGACUCCUACGGGAGGCAGCAGUGGGGAAUAUUGGACAAUGGGCGGAAGCCUGAUCCAGCCAUGCCGCGUGUGUGAAGAAGGCCUUUUGGUUGUAAAGCACUUUAAGCGAGGAGGAGGCUACCUGGAUUAAUACUCUAGGGUAGUGGACGUUACUCGCAGAAUAAGCACCGGCUAACUCUGUGCCAGCAGCCGCGGUAAUAC
rnacentral:rRNA from 1 species